UAUAUUUUAGUGUAAGUGCACAUAGAAUUUUGAUUUCUAAGGUUUUAGUUAAAUUCUAAAAAAUAUAA
rnacentral:tRNA from 1 species